GACGAACGCUGGCGGCGUGCUUAACACAUGCAAGUCGAACGGAAAGGCCCGGCUUUUGUGGGGCGCUCGAGUGGCGAACGGGUGAGUAACACGUGAGUAACCUGCCCCUGUCUUUGGGAUAACUUCAGGAAACUGGGGCUAAUACCGGAUAGGAGCUCCUGCUGCAUGGUGGGGGUUGGAAAGAUUCGGCGGUUGGGGAUGGACUCGCGGCUUAUCAGCUUGUUGGUGGGGUAGUGGCUUACCAAGGUUUUGACGGGUAGCCGGCCUGGGAGGGUGACCGGCCACAUUGGGACUGAGAGACGGACCAGACGCCUACGGGAGGCAGCAGUGGAGAGUAUUGCAGAGUGGGCGGAAGCCUGAUGCAGCGACGCCGCGUGCGGGAUGACGGCCUUCGGGUUGUAAACCGCUUUCGCCUGUGACGAGGAGUGAGUGACGGUAAUGGGUAAAGAAGCACCGGCUAACUACGUG
rnacentral:rRNA from 1 species